GGUCGAGUGGCCCAAUGGCAAGGCGUCUGACUACGAAGCUCAGCACAGCUCAGCUAAUCAGAAGAUUGUGGGUUCGAAUCCCAUCUUGAUCA